UACUGUUUAUUAUGUGAGCCUUCUAAUGCUACAAAACUGAGAAAUCCUGAACUGAAUCAGUACAGAUUAGAGAACAGGGCAAAUCAACAAUGUAUGCAGUAAAGACAGCAGAAUUUGAUGCUAUUUAAGUGAAUACUUGUACCCUCCUCUGCCUCCUUUGCCCCGUCGUCAUCACGACCGGCCUCUGCUUCCUCGGUGCGGAGCUUCUUGGCGGCUGCUCUCCUUUUCUUGUCGGCGGCUUUCUUGGCGCGGCGCCUCUCUUCGGCUUCCUUGCUGCGACCUCGCCGGUCGCCGUUCUUCUUCUUGGCCCGGAGUACCUCCUCCGGCACUGACACCGCCUCCAUCGCCUUGGAGGUGACCACCUGAUCCUCGUCACCGCCGCAGCCGCCGUCGGCGUCCUCCGCUUUCUCGGUGCGGCGGCGCUUAUUAUUCUUGGCGGCGCGGCGUCUCUCUCCGGCUUCCUUGCUGCAGCCGCCGACCCCCGCCGCCGGUUUGCCCGCCGACGCCAUCUGGGCACCGGUCGUCUUGGGGCGUGAUCGUGAUCGCUUCUUCCUUCUUCCCGUGGAGAACCUUGGCGCAGCCGUCCUCAAUCUCCAUGUGCGCCCAACGAGAGCUUCGUCGCCGUCCCCUCGCGCGCCCGGGCCCGGCCGUCUCCGUCUAGGUCAGGUCACGGUGGCACGCAGCCCUAGCUAGCCAGCUAGGGGCAGGUUGGAAGGCCGUGGUUGGGCCAGAUGGGCUUACGUGAGGAGCCAGGGAGAGUCCGUACGUAGCGCAAGCGGACAGGAGACUCCAACAAAUUAAACGUGGGUGACCCUAGUUCUGCCGUCGCAAUUGGUCGUGUGAAGCCGUACGUACGUCUCCCCGUCCCUGGUGGUAAAGCUUCUUGGCAUUGUGGACUGUUUUGCCCCUGGGCCCACUGUCAGAUCAAAGGAAGAUGUUUCCUCCUCUCUCAAUCGAUUGAUCCCUCCAGUCUCCAGGCGUCGCUCAGCACGGCCGUGAGCGCCACCACCCCCGCCGCUGUUCGCCGCCACCACCCCCGCCGCCGUGCGCCGCCACCACUCCGCCGCCGGGCGCCGCCAACCCCGCCGCUGGGCGCCGUCGGCACUCGACGCCCCACUGCCGCCACCAAGCUGUAGUUUGUUCUUUUUCAGUGUUUCAGUUGGAAAAACACAUAUUUGCUUAUACUAUGUGUAAAUACACUCUAAUAUAGAGGACAGAGAAUUGGGGCACUACUCAUUGAUUGUUCAUAUUUUGAUGUACUAGUUCAUGUAUUGUGUAUACUAUAUACAUAGACAUAUUUGAUUGUU